GGUCGGGCCGGGUUGUUGGGUUGGUCUUUUGAACCCGGCCGGGCCCUAUGAGCCGCAUCAUUCUGCAGCGCGAACCUGACGAACGGAAUCGGCGGCGGCGGCGGCCAGCGACGCAGUUUGCGACCGGGAUCGGCGGGGGUUUUCCUCACGGGCGUGGGGGAGGGGUUUGGCCUUGGAUGAGCGGUAAAUCAGCAGGAGCAGCGAGGUACGUUUCCGUUGUAGGUCGGUUUCAGAUUUAUUUGUACUCUAGCAGAAUCACGGGCGCGGCUGUGUGACUGCAGAGUUCGUCCCAGUUUUGCUCGCAAUCACAUCAGAGUUUGCCGUGCUUGCCUGUGGAAUGGCAUCUCCAGUUGUGGAAUGGCUCCAAUGUGGUUUCAUGAACCAUUUGAGGUUGCAUAAAACUUCAGCCUUUCAUGAUACCUUCUCACUCUUGGGCUUCAGAUUUAGCAUAAGCCUGAAAGAUCCUACUGCCUUCAGGGAAGUACUCUGCAGCCUUUGAGGCCGUGGGUGAGAUAUAAAAUCAAGUUGAUCCCAUUGCAGUAUGUCUGUCUGUUACAUGUAUGACAGAUCCACAAGUUCAACUUUUGCCUACUUUGACCCCAAUUUAGAAAGACUUUGCACCAUGACAUUGGUUUUGUGAUCCUGAGCAAUAGUCCUGCAUUCCUUUCAGUUCACUGACACAAAUUAUUUGUAGUUUACAAUUUGGUCAUAACUGCAAACUGUCAUAGAUCUUAUUUUCUUGGAUGGCAUGAGCUGUUUCCAGUUCAUCUAAAGAAAAGGCUGUCUCCAGUUAAUUGUAUCGUAGACUGCCCCCUCUUAAACUAUAAUGCAGGGCUAGUGCAGAAGCAGGCGAUGGUCUCUCUAGUUGCAACUUGCAAGUUCCUUUUUUCCCCGUGUCCAUUGUCCUCUCUGAUAUCUGCCUGUAUGGCUGUGCAUCACACGGACCACAGUAUGCUCUUUCUUCUGUUUGUUGUCCUCCUCCAUGCCGCAAGCAAUUUGUUCUGCAUUGAGCUCUUGUCCCUGACUCCCUGUAAUGCCCGCCUGUUUCUUUCCUUCCAUGUGGUCCACCAUGUAGCCACAAAUGAUCAUGACACUUCUUUCCUGCUUUGGUAAUUUGAUUUCAGUUCAACUAAAUUUUACCUUUAUGUUCCAGAGGGUUUUAUCCAAACACAUCAAAUGGGCUAGUUUUUUUUUUAAUAAUUUCACACAUCAAGUGGAUUCAAAGAUCUUGAUGAGUUAUUUGAGCAGAGCGAAACUAUUGAGAUUGAUUUGAAGUAGAUAACAAAAUAGACAUGCUGACUAUGUGGAAUGAGAAUUCGGCAAUUAGAAGCUCCUGCCAUUUUCUACAUGUAAGCUGUAACUGUAACUGUUUCUUGUUGACCCCAUCUGUUACUGGAUCCUGAUUUGCUGUUUUCGGUAUUAGCAAAAGGCAAACCUUUACUCUAAAACCUUUUGCUAAUUUUAGGCUGGGAGAACUGUUUAAAUUGCUUCAAUCUUUUUUUACCAGGUUCAGCCUUGUAUCUUCUACUAGCCCUUGUGUUGUAUUGCCGUACCACCAUGAUGUUUGGAUCUCUGCAGUCUUGCUAUUCCAAUCUUAAGCUGUCGUGUUCAUACCGAUGUCUAGUCAUGUUUCAUAGGACUUGUAUAUUUUAUAACUUGCUUUCAUUGUCAUUCACUGGUCCAGCCUGUUUGGCACACAGGUCACAAAUCUGGAUCAUAUUAUCCAUGUUCAGGAGGGGUGUGGCUAAGGGCAUCUAUGCAAGGAUGAUCAUUUUUAUGCUAGUGCCAGUAAUUUGGAUGAUUUGUAGUAAUGAAGCAUUUGAGUUAUCCACAGACAAGCCUUCAUUGUUUAGGUUUUCUUUUAGUGAUUAGUCAAAGGGGUGUAUGAGAUGAGCGCUAGAUGUCAGCAGUGUUCUUUUGUUUCUAUGCUGCAAUUACUUCUGAUGUCCUGCUCCCCUCACUUUAGGAUGAACAUAUAUUUUGCACUCAUGCGGCUUUUGGAAAGAAACCUGCCAAAUGUAACUGAUCAAUUUGGCAUGAUGUCCCAAAGGUUUGUUUUCACUUUUCUUUUUCCAUGUUUUGCAGAGAACCAACAUUCUCUUGAAGUUGCAAAUAUGGUGUGGAUGUUCUUUAUGAUCCAGAUCCAUGCUCAUUGACUUUUGCUGAAACACUGAGUUCAUAAGUAGAGAAACGUAAAGGAUGGUCGUUGCAUGGAACGAAAAGGUCAAUGUAGCAGGCCAGUUGCAUACCCCUCCAAGGCCAAGAGUAUAUCAGGUUGUCAAAGAAAUGCCUCAAGCACAUCAAACAUGCCCAGCUAGGUAAUGUUAGCUAAAGUUGCAAGGAGCAGCCAGAAGUACCACUAGGUGUUCACGCAUUGUAUUCUUAAUUGUGAGGUACUUUAUUUUUACACAGGCAGUGACGUAUUCUUUGUUGCAGCUUUGGUGUUUAUCAGUCGUAAGGUCAGGAACGGCUUAUAAUUUGGCAUCGUUUAAUUCAUUUGUUACCAGCAGACUGAUUCCAUCAGUUACCAUCCUGUAAAGUUUCGUGCUCUCAUUUCUCCUGUCA